AUACGGAAGGUCCGGGCGUUAUCCGGAUUUAUUGGGUUUAAAGGGAGCGCAGGCGGAGAUGCAAGCGUGACGUCAAAUUUCGGGGCUCAACCCCGUCUCGCGUCGCGAACUGCGUCCCUUGGUUGCGGGAAGGGGAGGCGGAACUCGUGGUGUAGCGGUGAAAUGUAUAGAUAUCACGAAGAACUCCGAUCGCGAAGGCAGCCUUCCGGCCCGUCAACGACGCUCAUGCUCGAAGGUGCGGGUAUCAAACAGGAUUAGAUACCCUGGUAGUCCGCACAGUAAACGAUGGACACCCGCGGUUUGGCCUGUAUGGCUGAGCCGCCAAGCGAAAGCGUUAAGUGUCCCACCUGGGGAGUACGCCGGCAACGGUGAAACUCAAAGGAAUUGACGGGG
rnacentral:rRNA from 1 species